UGGGGAAUAUUGCGCAAUGGGGGGAACCCUGACGCAGCCAUGCCGCGUGAAUGAAGAAGGCCUUCGGGUUGUAAAGUUCUUUCGGUAUUGAGGAAGGUUGAUGUGUUAAUAGCACAUCAAAUUGACGUUAAAUACAGAAGAAGCACCGGCUAACUCCGUGCCAGCAGCCGCGGUAAUACGGAGGGUGCGAGCGUUAAUCGGAAUAACUGGGCGUAAAGGGCACGCAGGCGGUUAUUUAAGUGGGGUGUGAAAGCCCUGGGCUUAACCUAGGAAUUGCAUUUCAGACUGGGUAACUAGAGUACUUUAGGGAGGGGUAGAAUUCCACGUGUAGCGGUGAAAUGCGUAGAGAUGUGGAGGAAUACCGAAGGCGAAGGCAGCCCCUUGGGAAUGUACUGACGCUCAUGUGCGAAAGCGUGGGGAGCAAACAGGAUUAGAUACCCUGGUAGUCCACGCUGUAAACGCUGUCGAUUUGGGGAUUGGGCUUAGAGCUUGGUGCCCGUAGCUAACGUGAUAAAUCGACCGCCUGGGGAGUACGGCCGCAAGGUUA
rnacentral:rRNA from 1 species